UUUGUUUGUACCUGAAAAAGUAUAGAUUGUUAGCUGCCACUUGGGAGCAUGAGCCAUGUGCUGAGCACUCUAUUAAAUACUCACCAGACCAGUCCCAGUGCUGACCAGUCCCAUCGUAUCUCUGACGGUGCAUAUCAGGAUCCGCAUUGAUCAGAUGCCGAAACCAUGGCUUGGAAUGGCUGCGAUGAAGCUGAGCUGCGAUUCAAACCCAGCUUUCCUUCACGUACCCAGGACCUUUUCUUCUGCAGCCUUGCCUUCUCCAGGGACUCACUGUUACCUGUGUCCAGACUGUGGAAGGAUGAUGAGUGUGGAGAAGACAUAUCUGCCCUUCAGUCUUGGCCCAGAAACAAUGCUGAUACCUCCACUGACAUUCCACUGGCAAGAACAGCCCGUGCGCCACACCUGGAAUGGGAAGGAUGGCGAGGAAAUAUCAUUGCUGGUGGGUAGCCACCUCCUAGAACUUCCUUCUCUAGAUGGGCUCACAAAUUCCAGUGUCAGUGAGCCAGUGCUGCCACAGAUAACUAUUCUUUGAAAUAAGGAAUGCCGAAGAGAGCCAGUUCUGUGAGGGAGUAUUGGGAAUUCACACCAUAUCAAGCAAGAGAAAAGAGAGGAAGUAUUUCAGGGGUGCACCACCUAUGCAUGUCAUGUGAUGCCAAAAGCAACCCACCAAUUGGGAUAAAAAACAGUCAGCUGAUCAUUUGACCUUGAAUCCAGAAACACCGAUCAAAGUAAAACACUCACAGCUCGGCAGCCGGCUUGCCGCUUGCUCAUUUUUGCAUCACACAAAUCCAGCCGAGGAAGCAAAGGUUCAAAUCAUGGCAUCUGUUUGCAGAUCUCUGAGAAACAAGGGCUGUGGCCAGAGGAGUGGACGUGCAGUCAGUCAAUAUGGGGUGGGCUUUUCUGAACAAAGAUUCCGAGAAGACCAUGAGCUUGUCAGACAGAAAUCUAAUCUGCAUAUGUGAUCCAUGCAGUCCUAGGUAUAGAUUGCAUAUACAUAUACAAAAUUUGUUUUUAUUCAAUUUGGAAAUAAUUGUUGACCAUGAUUUCCUACAGCUCACACAAAUGAGGUAAGAACAAAGGUGAUCAGUAGUUAAUAAUGGACUGGGACUGUUUGAAAAGCAACUUGGACAAUGGAAUGAAUAAAUAUAUCUGGAUACUCUGACCUCAACCGUGCAUAUCAGAUCAGCUAAUGUCUGUUGGAUAAUUUUAUGUGACGGGC
rnacentral:lncRNA from 1 species